ensembl:lncRNA
CCUGGCCUUGCUCAAUGGGUUAAGGAUCUGGCAUUGCCGUGAGCUGUGGUGUAGGCCAGAGGCUUCAGCUCCGAUUCAACACCUACCCUGGGAACUUCCAUAUGCCUCGAGUGCAGCCCUAAAAAGCAAAAAAAAAAAUUAUUUCCCCUGCUCUUAUCACCUAUAAGUAUGAUCUAUUUAUACUAACCCCGAUGCUGGUUUUUAACGCAAGGUCCUCUUUGCCUCUGUCCUUUCAUUUUCCUGUGCUUUUUAUACUUUUAGCCAGCAGGCAUCUGAGCGUUUUGUUCCUCAUCAAAGUUGUUUAAAAAUUUGAUCAUUUCUCUUUCUGAUUUAUUUCACUUAGUAUGAGAAUCUCUAGUUGCAUCCAUGUUGCUGCAAAGCAUUAUUUCGUGAUUUUUUAUGGCUGAGUAGUAUUCCAUUGUGUGUAUGUACCACAUCUUCUUAAUCCAUUCAUCUAUAGAUGGACAUUUAAAUUGUUUCCAUGUCCUGGCUGGGAGUUUGGGGUUAGUAGAUGCAAACUAUUACAUUUAGAAUGGAUAAGCAAUGAGGUCCUACUGUAUAGCACAAGGAAUUAUACCCAGUCUCUUGGGAUAGAACAUGAUGGAAGAUAGUAUGAGAAAAAGAGUGUAUAUAUAUGUAUGACUGGGUCACUUGGCUGUACAUCAGAAAUUAGCACAACAUUGUAAAUCAAUUAUACUUUAAUUUUUUUUUCCAAAGGGGAAAUUACUAUGUUGUAAAAACAACAACAAAUAAUCAGGUGGUAGAUAUCGUCUAUAAAAUAUGUGCAUGAUCAGGAGUUAUUUCUGCUCCAAAAUAAGUACAAGUUGUGCCUCAAGAACUAGACAGUUGUGAGAGCCAUUAAAAUUUUUGUAGUAAGUUUCAGGAGUAUCAAAAUGUCUUCCCAAUGUCUACAUUAGCACCAAUGAUGUAUUUUCUUUUUUUUUUCCUUUUUUUUUAAUCACUCAAAUGAAUUUAUCACAUCUGCAGUUGUAUAAUGAUCAUAACAAUCCAAUUUCACAGGAUUUCCAUCCCACAGCCCAAGCACAUCCCCCCCACCCCCCAAACUGUCUCCUCCGGGGACUAUAAGUUUUUCAAUGUCUGUGAGUCAGCAUCUGUUCUGCAAAGAAGUUCAGUCUGUCCUUUUUUAAGAUCCCACAUGUCAGCGAAAGCAUUUGAUGUUGGUGUCUCAUUGUAUGGUUGACUUCAUUUAGCAUGAUAGUUCCUAGGUCCAUCUAUGUUGCAAAAAAUGCUGGUAUUUCGUUCUUUUUAAUGGCUGAGUAAUAUUCCAUUGUGUAUAUGUACGACAUCUUCUUGAUCCACGCCUCCGUCACUGGCCAUUUAGGUUGUUUCCAUGUCUUGGCUAUUGUAAAUAGUGCUGCAAUGAACAUUGGAGUACAUGUGUCUUUGCAAGUCAUGAUUUUCAACUAUACUUUAAUUAAAAUUAAAAAAAAAAAAAAACUUGAGUGAGCUCCACCUAAAAAUUCGUUCUCCUUAACAGCACAGAUUAGAUAUACUAGUCACACAUUUUUCUCACUGACUUCUGAAUAAAUGCACGGCUGUUAAAAUGAAGAUUGCAGUGUGUACCUCACACUUUGGCAGUGCAAAUAAAAACGGUCCCUCCUGUGCUGGCAGGAAAGCCCCAUCGUGAGUCCUCAGCAUCCAGGGCUGGGGCAGAGCAGGUGCUGCUGGGUAGUUCUUAGGUAACUGAUCUGACAAUUGUGGAAACUGAGUCCUUGGGCUUGUCCACAGCCCCUGCCCACUCCCUCCUCCACUGCCUCUAGAUUCGCGCUGCCAGGGAGGCUGUGAUUCCUUUUUUGCUGAAAUCAUGCGCUCUGGAAUUAUUUGGCUUGUCUCACACCCGCCUCUAGUGGGGGUGGCUGUGGAAAUCACGCUCUGGCAGAUAAUUAAAAUUUCAAGUGAGUGAGGAGCCAGGAGGCCUUCAUCUUCUUACAAGGAGAUGUCUCAUUCUUGUCACCGGAGGAGAGGGCACAAGGGGACAUGGAGACGGCCCAACCUGCUCUUCAGCCCAGCCACCCUCUGCUCCACUUCAGGCUGCCGCCUGUUCUCAGCCCUGCGGGCGUUCCUUACCUCCCAUCCAGCCUGAGCACGGCCCUUUCCAAAGUGAAACGGAUCCCACCUCUCCUGAUGAAAGCCCCUCUUGUCCCCCCUUCCCUAACCAGUGGUUCUCAAAGUGAGGUCCCUGGACCAGCUGCAGCAUCACCUGGGAACUUGUUAGAAAAGCAGAUCCUGGAGUUCCCAUUGUGGCUCAGGGAGUUAGGAACCUGACAUAGUGUCUGUAAGGAUGAGUGACCUCCCUCAGUGGCUUAAAGAUCUGGCAUGGCUGCAAGCUGCAGUAUAAUUUGUAGAUGUGGCUUGGAUCCGGGGUUGCCGUGGCUUUGGUGUAGGCCUGCAGCAGAAGCUCCAUUCGACCCCUAGCCUGAGAACUUACUUCCAUAUGCCACAGGUGCAGCUAUUGAAAGAAAAAGAAAGAAAGAAAGAAAGAAAGAAAGAAAGAAAGAAAGAAAGAAAGGAGUUCCCGUCAUGGCUCAGUGGUUAACGAAUCUGACUAGGAACCAUGAGGUUGCAGGUUCGAUCCCUGGCCUUGCUCAGUGGGUUAAGAUUCGGCGUUGCCGUGAGCUAUAGUGUAGAUUGCAGAGGCGUCUCAGAUCCUGAGUUGCUGUGGCUCUGGCGUAGGCCAGCGGCUACAGCUCCAAUUAGACCCGGAGCCUGGGAACCUCCAUGUGCGG